GAUGAAGAACGUAGUGAAAUGCGAUAAGUAAUGUGAAUUGCAGAAUUCAGUGAAUCAUCGAAUCUUUGAACGCACAUUGCGCCCGUCAGUAUUCUGGCGGGCAUGCCUGUCUGAGCGUCAUUUCAACCCUCAUGCCCCUAGGGCGUGGUGUUGGGGAUCGGCCAAAGCCCGCGAGGGACGGCCGGCCCCUAAAUCUAGUGGCGGACCCGUCGUGGCCUCCUCUGCGAAGUAGUGAUAUUCCGCAUCGGAGAGCGAUGAGCCCCUGCCGUUAAACCCCCAACUUUCCAAGGUUGACCUCAGAUCAGGUAGGAAUACCCGCUGAACUUAAGCAUAUCAAUAAGCGGAGGA
rnacentral:misc_RNA from 1 species